ACAAUAUUUGAUAACCCAAGGUACAUAAUUACCAACAAAAACCAAACCUAAAAUCUCUGUUGGAAUUCAUAAAACCAAGAAAAAAAAGCGACAAUUAUUGAUCAAAACAUAGUUAAAGAUAUAUGGAAAAACUCAUGAGAAUUAGGAAAAAAUGGAGAAAAAAGCUAAGGAAGAGGUUUGGUUGUUGUUGAGGCAAGAGCAGGCAUGUCCUUGAGCCACUGGUCCAAUGGCUUACCAAUGGAGUAAACAAUAAAUCCAAUCUGCCUGAGUUUAUCAGCGUCGACCACGUUUCUACCGUCAAAAACAAAAGCCGGUUUCUGCAUAUUCUCAAAGAUCCGUUGGAAAUCGAGUUUCUUGAACUCAUCCCACUCGGUUAAAAUGCAGAUACCUGGGCGCCCAUGCUAAUUGAAAAAGUGGAGUCAUAUAUAUACACUUUAGAUCAAGAUAUCAGAAACCCUUAAAUGAAAUCUGUGAUAACAAAGCACUAUCAAAUGAAAAAUAGUAUUAAGGUACGAAAGAAAGGAAUGAAAUUAUGUAGAUAACAACAGCGUGGCAUCUUGUGAGUAUGUGCAAGUCAAACACACAUAACAGGAAGAUGAUGGAUGAUAUAUUUGUAAAAGUGGAUGUUGUUCAUAGUAAAGCAAAGAAAAUAACCGCGGAUGGAAAAGUCACAAACCAGCUCCAUCAGGGUAAAUAGACUGGCUUUUACAUAUGUAGGUAAAAAUUUUUUUAUGGUAUUUGCCUUAAAAGAAUCAUUUAGAUCAGCUUGUUUCAUUACAUUAAGUUCACAAGUUAGUAUUCAUUCUUUAACAAAUUUUGAAGCAAUCCGCUAAUGGCCCGGGGUACGUAUUAUCAGCCUAUCAUCAUCUCUUGCUUCAUCAUAAAAGAGUUUGAGAGCACAAAUUAAGGCCCAAUUAUUGGUAGCCCAAAGAGUUUACUACUUUUCCUUAGACUAGAGCAAAGACAAACGACGUCGUUUGGGUGUAAGAAGAAAAUUGCCAAAGAUUUUGAAAACCUAGAAUCGUGAGCUCAGCCUGCUCGUCUUCUUCCUCUGUUUUUGUCUCUCUUACUCAGAUCUCAAAAAGAGCUUCUUUAUUUUUUUUUUCCUUCCUUUCCUUAGAAAAAAGAGUAAAUUUUUAUCAAAAUUUCCAGCUCUGAUAUAAAAGUUUGUGAAAUUAGUAGCUAUUGUUAUGUCUCUAGCUCUGAUUUCAUCUUUUCAAUGGAAGAAAAAGUCGUCAAAGGCAAUGAGAAGAAGACGAGGGGACGAUUGGUUCGCAUCGGAGAUUCCUUUGGAUCUCCAGAUCGAGAUUCUGAUUAGAUUGCCUGCUAAAUCGCUGAUGAGGUUCAAGUGCGUUUCAAAGCUCUGGUUUUCUCUUAUCCGUUGUCGAUAUUUUAGCAAUCGUUAUCUUACGGUGGCUUCCCCACCGCGAGCACCUCGUCUAUACAUGAGUUUGGUGGACCACAUCCAGUGUAAUUCAAUGGAAGUCUGCUAUAACCCUCGCGAGUCUGUAUUGCUAUCAUUAUCAUCAUCGUCUAGUACUGAUGCAAAGUCUUUCCACCAAGAUUUGACAAUGCCAGGGAUGGGAGGACGCAACAUGAUGAUUCUUCGCGGCUUGAUUCUAUACAUUGUUUGCAGAAAGGCGUGUAUCUAUAAUCCCACCACCAGACAAUGUGUAACCUUACCCGCCGUCCAAUCCAACAUUUUUGCUCAAGAAGAUUAUCAUAAGAGUGUCCUCUACUUUUUAGGACACGAUCCUGUUCUUGAUCAAUACAAAGUAGUUUGCACUGUUGCAGUAUCCUCAAAAAGGUUUAAGAGGAUAACCUCAGAGCAUUGGGUCUUCGUACUAGAACCCGGAGGUUCGUGGAAAAGAAUUGAGUUUGAUCUACCUCAUUGUCCUGCACGACUAGGACUGUGCAUCAACGGAGUCAUAUAUUUUUUGGCUUCCGCUUGUAUGUCUAGCGAUAUCCUUGUCAGUUUUGAUGUUAUGUCUGAAGAGUUCAAAUGGAUCCAAGGACCUCCUGUCGCGUCUGCAUUUAAGCCCAUGGGUUUUAUAGAGUAUCUUGGAAAACCAUCUGUUUUUGAUCAUUCCCAUCUUAAACGCAAAGGUUCCGUGGACUUAUGGGUCUUGGAAGAUGCUGGAAAAUGGUCGAAGAAAUCCCUGGUUUUGCAGCCUUGUCAGAUGCAUUUAGUUGAUAAGAAAUUAUCAUUCACGGUUAAAGGUACUACUCAAAACGGCGAGAUUAUCUUGGCACCCGUAUUGUUGCAUUCCCCUUAUUACGUUUUGUAUUAUGAUCCCAAAAAAAAUGAUUUGAGAAAGGUUAGAAUCAGAGGAAUACCGAAACAAUGGUUUGGUAAGCUUGAUGACACCAACUUACUUUUUUAUUUCGAUCUUAUGGAUGAGAGUGAAAGUAUCCUGCACUUGGAAAUUUGAAAUUGCCAUGUCGACAUUUCUUACCUUCAAUACAUUGGGAACUAUUUAUUUUGUAAUUUUGUUUUAUUUAUGUUGAUUGUUUUUUUUUUUUUUUGAUAUUUUGAAUUUUGAACUUACCUUUGUUUUUUAUGGUGACAAAAUUGACUUUGAUCAAAAAUCAUCUUACUAAGAAGAAUAAGAAACAUGGUAGCUAGUAUAUUAUGAUUUAUUGAUUGAUUUCACAGCCCUAAGAUUAAAUGAAAACUAACCUCAACUGUUAGAUUAAAAAGAUGACAUCAGCAGACCCAAAAAAGUGGGUUUGCUGUUUAAUUGAACUACUGAUUUAUUUUUACCUACCUUUGUUUGUUUGAAUUUCAAAUCACAUAACAAGUAUACGAGGUAUGUUAAUCUCAUAUGCAAGAUAGAGUCUCUUGCUAGAGACAUUUAGAUCUAUGAUGGUCUUUCAUUGGCAAAGUUAGCAUCUUUCAGCCAAUUGCUUUUCUAUUGACCAUGUCAUGAUCAUAAUCGGAGCAAGAGUUGCCGGUAUAGAGUUUGUCAGUUACUAUUCCUAUCAUCUUUCUUGUGCAUGUAGAGAUGAUGAAUUUUAAGUAACUAAUCACUAUGAAGGGAGAAAGAGAAGAGAAUGAUCAUAAGCUCUCACAAUCUCCUAAACGUAAGUGCUGCCUUGAAAUAAUAGCCGGUGAUAUCAAUAUUCCUUUCGAUCUGACGGUGGAGAUACUGAAGAAACUCCCGGCCAAGUCUCUUGUGAGAUUCUAAUGCGUCUCCAAGCAAUGGUCAACCAUAAUCGGCUCCCGGAAAACUCCCGGCCAAGUCUUCUUCUCAUCAUCUCACAUUUCUCUCUUCUACAAUAUUUCUCUCUCUAGAUUCUGUUCAGGAACUUGUCUUAAAAACUCUCACUCUCCCCCAAACUUAACAAACAUACAAGCAAAACACCCAAUGGGUCUCACUUCUCUUCAAGUUUGCAUGGAUUCGGAUUGGCUCCAGGUAUUUUCACUUAGACUUCCAUCGUUUGUAUUUGUGUUUCUUUUCCAAAUAUGAACAUAAGACUUCACACAUUGCAAGCAAAAAUUCCUUUGUUAAUUAGUUUUAAAAAGUAAAUGUCAAAUACGAAUGGAAGAUCUGUUUGUGUUUGACACGUACUUAAAAAUUGAAAAUAUUUUCCAUUUUAAAUGUGACUUAUUUUUUGUUUUAAUGAAUUUGUUUUGUCCCAUUUAAGUGCACAAUUUAAAAAACAAAAAUUAGGAUUGAAACAAUUUAGAUCUUAUUAAUUACUCCUCUUGAACCAUCGUUUUUGGCGUGCAUGGUGAUGCAUAUUAUGUACCAUACAACUUCGAUUGUAUAGAUUACAAAGCGUAACCUUACCCGCCAUCAAAUUCAACAUCUUUGUUCAAGGAAAUGAUCAUAGUGUCCUCUACUUCUUGGGACACGAUCCUGUUCUUGAUCAAUACAAAGUAGUUUGUAAUUUUGUGUCAUCAUCUUCACAAGAUUUGGACAUGAUAAACUUGGAGCAUUGGGUCUUCGUACUAGAAGUUGGAGAUUCUUGGAAAAGAAUAGAGUUUGAUCAACCUCAUAUAUCUACAAGACCUGGACUGUGCAUCGGUGGAGUUAUAUAUUAUCUUGCUUUCACUAGUAUGUUUGAGGAUAUCGUUGUCAGCUUUGACGUUAGAUCUGAAGAAUUUAACAUAAUCCAAGCGCCUCUUGUGGUGUCUGCAUAUGUUGGCUCUCUGGGUUUUAUAGAGUAUGGUGGGAAACCAGCUAUUUUUUAUCAUACUAGUCUUAAAGAAAACGGUUUGGUGGACUUAUGGGUCUUGGAAAUGCUGGAAACUGGUCGAGGAAAGCUUUGAGUUUGCAGCCUUCUCAGCUGCUUUAGUUGAUAACGACAUUCUAUUGACGGUAGAAGAUACAACUCAAAACGGCGAGGUUAUCUUGGUACCAAGUGAGUUGUGUUCCCCUUUUACAUUCUCUAUUAUGAUAUACUGAAGAAUGAUUGGAGGAAGGUUGAAAUCAAAGGAAUGCCGGACCAUAAGAAGGUUGGGAUCAAAGGAAUACCGGACUUUGGUUUCAAACUUAUGGAUAACAGUGAAAGCAUCAUCCACUUGGAAACUUGAAUACUAUUACUUGUUUUUUUGUUAUUUCUUUUCUUCUCAUUCCAAGCUAAGAUUAUCAUAUUAUCUUAUUAUUUUUCGCCUUUAAUAAUACAAUGCAACUAUUUUAUUUUGUUAUUUUAAUUUUAGGCAACAAACAAUCGUUUAAUAUGUGUUAUUCAAUUUUAUUUUAAAAUCAUCAAGUAAGAUUGGAUUUAAUCGCAGAGGUUACAUGUUCUGUAUAUCAAAUCAAGAACAAGUUUUAGAACCCUUGUGGAUAUAUAUAAGCUUUUGUUUCAAGUAGAAAUGAAUAUAUAUAUAUAUAUAUAUAUAUAUAUAUAUAUAUUUUUCUGUUUUUUGUUUUUCCUUUAAGCAUUCAUCAAUUGUGUAAAAAAAUCUCUGGAAGUGCUUUUAGUAUGUAAAGAAGUUAUCUACCUAAAGAAGUUUACCCUAUAGCCCAUGUUUCUUUGAUAAACCGGUACUAGAAUAACAUUUUUGAAGAGUCAGUGGCUCAACAUGUCCAUGUUUCUUUAAAUAUCGAUUCUCAAUGCCUUGAAUUCAACAGGUCCUUAAUUAUAAGUAUAUCGUAUGGCCAGGUCGGAGAUUUGACCUCAGGUAAAUGAAAGUAUUGUCUGAGGGUAGGAUUAUACAUUGUGACCAAAUGACGUCUUAUGAUCACCGAACAACAUUGUAAGCCGCAGACUUAUCGAUACUCAACACUUUCGAAAGGGAUUAUUACUUAAGGUGCGAGUUUUUGUUUCUUUGUGUAGGCGAGAAGAAUAAGACAUGGUUGUCACUAAACCAAUGGUGAAGUGGGAACGUUGGAGCCUUGCAGGUUAUUCAAAGAACGAGGCACGAUCUAGUCAAUGAAGACGCAUCACAACCUCACGAGGGGGACUUUGCUAGGAUUGUCUUGAGUAUCUCAACCGUUUACUCGAGAGAGAUAUUGAUAUCGUUGAGAUUUUAAGACUAAAGUUCAGAGCCGACUUGCUCUGAUACCAAUUCAAAUCAAGAUCACAUUAUUUUGACUGCUCUGAUUAAGUUACUGAAUGAUUCAGAAAGUGAUUCAGCAACACGAGAACAAGAGAUUAAAGAAUAACCUUUCUUUAUUGAUUUAGAAACUUCACAAAACUAAAUCUCUCUCUUCUGUCCUCUCUGAGGUCUUAUGGAACAACUCUCCAUAGCCUCUCAUAUAUAGAACUUAUCUACCCUAAGUCUAUAUGAGUCUCAGAUCUGUCUCAACACCUCCACGUGUCUUAACUCUCAUCUUCGGAUGGUGGAGCUCCUCUGGUAGCAGAACUCCCCCCGAGCUGUUCUGAGCUCACCCCGAGCUAUUCGAGCUCCCCUGGGCUAUUCGAGCUCCCCGAGCUACACUAAGCUCUUUGAGCUUUCUCUCAAGCUCUCUCUCUUCUUCUUCACGAGCUCUCCUCUUGAGCUGCCUUCACGAGCUCCCUCUGAGCUGCUCUCACGAGCUCUCCUCUGAGCUACCUCUGAGCUACCCUCUGAGCUACUUCGGCUAUACGAGCUACUCAAGCUCCUUGAGCUCCUCUGAGCUACACGAGCUCCCCGCUUGAGCUGCACGAGCUCCCCUGCUGAGCUGCCUCUCUUGUUCUUCAUAAGGCUCUUAUUUAUACUAGAACCAAGCUUCUUCUUUUCCUAUUGUGAAUAGGAAGACUUACAAAUCUUGUCCAACUUGAUAUUAUUUGUAUUUCCUUUUCUCUUGAUUUCCUUUCUUGGAUUUCCUUUCUUGUAUCUCUUCUAGCAUCUUCUAGAAGGAGAUAACUUGCUCCUCAAGUUAGUUGGAAUUAUCCAACAUUCUCCCCCUUAAUUCCAACUUGAAUUCCGGGAAACUUGAUUCUCGCCAAUGCCUUAGUAAGUGUGUCCGCCUUCUGCUCCACACCUUGAACAUUCUCAACUUCAACCUUUGUUGAGAUACAAUCUCUUGCUCCUCCUUAGCUUUUGAGAUCUUCAAAUUUGACUGCAUCUUAGUAUCCACAAGCAUUCCUUGAGCAUCUCCCUCUUGUUCUGCUCCUUGAAUUACUUCUUGUACUAGUGCUUGUACUACUUCAACGAUUCCUUGAACACAACCUUCUUGUUCUGCUCCUUGAAUCACGUCUUGUACUACUUCAUGUAAUACUUCAUGUACUACUUCAGCGAGAAGUAUUCCUUGAGCACAAACCUCUUGUUCAACUCCUUGAAUAACUUCCUGUAGUACUCUCUGUACUACUUCAACGACUAGUACAGAAUACCCAAAUAUCAUAACCCGACUUGGUUUGAUAUUCUCUAGACCCCGACUUGGUUCUAGCAUCUCUAGAAUCUGACUUGAUUCUAGCAUCAUUAGAACCUGGCUUGGUUCCAAUAUUGACCAACCAUCUACCUUCUUGAGAUGCGGCCUCGUGAUCACACUUCUUGACCAAUCAUCUACCAUCUUGAGAUGCGGCCUCAUGAUCUUCUUAGCUUUUAGUAAGCUUGAAUGACGUUCGGCUUCUCCCCACAUAUCAUUCAGAAUCUUCAUUAGGUGCCUAGAGACUCCUCCUCUAUGCAACCUCAAAUCUUCAUUAGAUGCUUAGAGACUCCUCCUCUAUGCAACAUCCUCUCUUCAUUAAAUGCCUAGAGACUCCUCCUCUAUGCAAUAUCGAUUCUUCAUUAGACGCCUAGAGACUCCUCCUCUAUGCGUAAUCGAUUGAACUCCAUUAGAUGCUUAGAGACUCCUCCUCUAUGCAACAUCGAAUAUUCAUUAGACGCCUAGAGACUCCUCCUCUAUGCGUAAUCGAUUAAACUCCAUUAGAUCCUUAGAGACUCCUCCUCUAUGCAACAUCGAAUAUUCAUUAGACGCCUAGAGACUCCUCCUCUAUGCGUAAUCGAUUGAGCUCCAUAAACUCUCCUCCUUUAUCGGUGCGAAAGGUUUUGAUGGACAAGCCGGCUUGCUUCUCCACACACUCUUCAAACCUUUUGUACCGAUCGAAAACUUCAAUCGAUAUGUCAACAAGGAACCACAUGUUCUUGUUGAUCUUGGCUCGUCUCUCACUUUCAACAUAAGCUUGCUGGAAUAAUCCGGAAAUUGUUUCGGACUUCAGAACAUAGUCUUCAAGGUACUACAGCUGAUUCAAUUGUCGACCUGACCUUCUCAGUUGUGCUAGUCCUUGAACUACUUCACCAACCUCACCCUCGUGGUUGUCUUGAGUGAUAUCCUCCAUGACAUCAUCUGCUUCAUGUCCUUCUCCAGCAUCUUCUUCGCGAAUCAACUCAAAAACUUAUAUGACCUAACUGAGCAUGCCAUGUUCUUGUAGAUUCAUUAGCAAUUCAUUCAGUCAGUCCUUCAGCGAGUCCUUCAACGAGUCCUGCAGCAAGUCCUUCAGCAUGUCCCUCAGGAAGUCCUUCAGCUUGCAGACAUGUUGCCUUGCUUAUCUCCAAACAACUUGAUGCUGACCAGCCUUGUCGCAUCACUUUGGAUAAAUUCUGCUUUUGGUUGUGAUCACCGGUUACUCCUCCUUGAGAUUGCAAGACGGACCUUCCUUGUCCCAUGCCUCUGCCGGAACUGUCACCUCCAAAGCUUCCUCUACCAUAACCACCGUAGUUAUAGCUUCCUUUGUUAUAACGUCUUCUUGUUAUAACCGCCUCUGUUUCCUGCUCGAAACUUCCCGUAGCCUCCAUGCUUAGGGUUUGAGGUCCUUGGUCUUUACUUUGGAUUUCUUACUCAACACGUUCUUCAUACUCCAGUAACCUCCCAACAAUGUCUUCAAACCCCAUCCGCUUUAGGUCAAGAACUUGCUCCAGGGAUGCUACAAUAUGAAUGAUCUUGGUUCGUGGUUGUGGAUUCUCGCUUGCCAUACUUGUUUACGAGUCACGUACCACUGGUCUUGUCUAGAGUCUUCAAACUAAGCUCUAACACACCACAGGUCUUGUCCAGAGUCUUCAAACUAAGUUCUGAACUUGUACAGAGUCUUCAAACUAAGCUCUGCCAUACCAUAGGUCUCGUCUAGAGUCUUCAAACCAGAAGCUCUGAUACCAAAUAAAGUUCAGAGCCGACUUGCUCUGAUACCAAUUCAAAUCAAGAUCACCUUAUCUUGACUGCUCUGAUUAAGUUACUGAAUGAUUCAGAAAGUGAUUCAGCAACACGAGAACAAGAGAUUAAAGAAUAACCUUUCUUUAUUGAUUUAGAAACUUCACAAAACGAAAUCUCUCUCUUCUGUCCUCUCUGAGGUCUUAUGGAACAACUCUCCAUAGCCUCUCAUAUAUAGAACUUAUCUACCCCUAAGCCUAUAUGAGUCUCUUUCUCUAGACUCUCAUGAGAUCUGUCUCAACACCUCCACGUGUCUUAACUCUCAUCUUCGGAUGCUGGAGCUUCUCUGGUAGCAGAACUCCCCCCGAGCUGUUCUGAGCUCACCCUGAGCUAUUCGAGCUCCCCUGGGCUAUUCGAGCUCCCCGAGCUACACUAAGCUCUUUGAGCUACACUAAGCUCUUUGAGCUUUCUCUCAAGCUCUCUCUCUUCUUCUUCACUAGCUCUCCUCUUGAGCUGCCUUCACGAGCUCUCCUCUGAGCUACCUCUGAGCUACCCUCUGAGCUACUUCGGCUAUACGAGCUACUCAAGCUCCUUGAGCUCCUCUGAGCUACACGAGCUCCCCGCUUGAGCUGCACGAGCUCCCCUGCUGAGCUGCCUCUCUUGUUCUUCAUAAAGCUCUUAUUUAUACUAGAACCAAGCUUCUUCUUUGCCUAUUGUGAAUAGGAAGACUUACAAAUCUUGUCCAACUUGACAUUAUUUGUAUUUCCUUUUCUCUUGAUUUCCUUUCUUGGAUUUCCUUUCUUGUAUCUCUUCUAGCAUCUUCUAGAAGAAGAUAACUUGCUCCUCAAGUUAGUUGGAAUUAUCCAACAAAGACCGUGAAGUUUCGGUUGCAUCCAUGUCAUAGAUUUUGGGGGGUCUUGUGCUCUUGAAAAUUCUGAAAAGUCUUGAGCUUCGCACCAGAUCCAAUGGUCCUGAAUCCGUUUUCUAAGAACGGAGAGAAUAUGACAUUGAUCACCGAGACCAGAUUUACAAUUACGAUAGAUCAAAUCAUGAGCUUUAUCUCUCCUUCAAGCAAUUCCAUAACCCCGACAGCAAAAGACGACGGCCAGCAGAAUAAGAAUCGCAGCUUCCAGAUUCAGAGAUCGUUGAUCCUUCUUGCUCUGAAUCAUCAAAAAAUGCUUCAACUUUGAGAAAUAGGAACUUUUGAUACAAACUUGAAAAAUCUUAAAGCUUUUGAAUUAGUUUUGUUUCUUGAGCUCCAAGUACAUAAUUAUAGCUAUGAAUAGAAUAGGGGAAUAAUCACAGAAAUGGAAAAAGGAACCGUUUGAAUUAACCUUUGAAUCCGUUUAGGUAGAAGCUGAAAUGACGAAAUUACCCCUUGAAUCCGUUUGCUUGCGGACAUCGAGAAUGUGUCAUUGUGUUGUAUCGAGUCUUCUUCUUCUUUGCGAGGCCACGACCGACACAUGUAACACGUUUUGUACGUAACCAUUUCAAUUUCUUAAAUGAAUUGUAGGUCAAUAUUUCUCUUAGUUAGAAUCCCAUAUGUGCAUAACUAAAUUAGUCGACAAACAAUGUUAAUGUGAUACAAUGAAUAUGUUAAAUUAGAUUAGUAUAGUUAACUCACCUAAAUCGUGUUUGACUUGCAUCAUUUCAAUCAAUGUCUUUAUAUGAAGUUAUUACUAACAAGUAACAACAUAUCGUCUUCUAAAUAUGAACUCUUAAUUUUCAACAAAUUGAGCUUUUUAUACGUUUUAAAGUCAUAUUAUAAGCAAACAAACAUGUAAACAAUACAAAAUAAUUAUAUUGAUUAAAAACAUAUCGUAAAGAAAUCUGAAAUUAAUCGCACUGUAAUACGUUUUAUGCGUAACCAUUUCAAUUUCUUAAAUAAAUAGUAUGUCAAUAUCUUUAUUAGUUAGAAUCCUAUAUCUAAAUUAGUCGACAAACAAUGUUAAUGUGAUACAUUGAAUAGGUUAAAUUAGAUUAAUUAACUCACCUAAAUCGUUACACUGUUUUGAAUAUUUAGAGCUGUCCAUAACCCCUAUUGAAAUAAUCCCGAUUAAACAAAAACCCUUAAUUCAAAUUAGCUUAGCUAGAGAUAUCCAAAUCUUAGCUAGAAAUAACCUUAAUCAUAAUCAUGCAUGUAUUUAAAGAUCUCUCAUUCAGAAACCCAUAAAUGGAUGAUGAAUCAAUGAAAAUUUGUUAUUGGGCUAUACUUAAUUUCAUGAACGAUGUAGGUCCAAUUAGAUACAUAAUACUAAAUGAAUGAUCUAUAAUUAUUAUUGUCCACCGAAAUUGUGAAACUUUUAAAUUUAUCAGCUAAAGUUUCCUUGAAAUAAAAGAAAAUAAAUUAUUUACAACUUUAUUUAAGAUCAACAUUUUCUACGUUUAAAAAAAAAAAAAAAGUAUAAGUGUUUGUUGUUUCUAGAAUUUUAGCAAAUCCUACAAUCGAUGAUGAUUAUUAAUGUUUUAGGGAAGUUAUUAUUACUAGGCCCAAAAAAUGUAUGGCCCAAGCGGGUUAGGCCCACAUUUUUGUAUAAAUAUAUAAUAAGAUUUUCCGCUUUCUCAACGCAUUUUACGGAUUUUGAAAAUUCAUUUCAUUUCAGAAAAAGAUUUUCGAAAAUGAAGAUGAGUAAGAUGCUCUGCUUGCGAAGGCGAUUUUCGAGAAGAGCAAGAGCUGGUAAAUUUUUCGACAUCUUCCUUCUUCAGAUGACCUAAAACUUGUUUCCGAGCAAGGAUUUUGUAGCGAUUUCGUGUUUAGAAGGAGGAUUUUGCUUUUGUUUUGUUGCUAAAAGUGUUCGUCGGAAGUGUUUUGAGUUUGGUAAAUCUGGAUCUGGUAACGAUGAACUAUUUGAUACUUGAACGAAACUCGAUUUCUGAAAUCAUAGACGACGAGAUUUUGAACCUAUCGAACACACUCAUUGAUGUUGUAUUCCGAUUUUGGUAUGGAUUCGUUGCUUAUUUUCUCUGCGUUGAUCUUAGGUGCGUGAUAGGAUUUUGAUUUCAGCUGUUUAUUCUCUCCGAUUUUCGCUAGAUCUGGUGAAUUUCUGAUUGGGCACUGUUGUACGAUGCUUGUUAGCUAGGUUCAGAUUCAUCGUUGCUUAUUUAUCUGCAUGAUUAGUUCUCUAUGUGUUUUUAGGUUUUGAUUCUCUCCGAUUUAGAUCUCUAUGUUAGGUUUAUGUGCUCUCUGAUUCAGGAUCUCGAUGUUUGAUUUUGCAAUUUGGUUUGUUGCUAAAUGUGUUCAUGGUUUGCGUUUAAUUUUGCUGUUUGUUUUGUUGCUAAUUGUGUUCCUGACAUGAGGCUUUCUUUUUACUAUUCUUGAAUUUUGUAGCUCCUCUCGUUGUCCCUGUGAAUGCCAAUCCUGUCCUUGUUGCUGUUGCUCAAGAGCAAGUUGCUCUCCCAGGUAUAACUCUCUUUCUUCCUUAGCUGCGUGAUAGGAUUUUGAUUUCAAGUGUUUAUGCUCUCUAAUCCUGAUCGUUGCUUAUUUAUCUGCGUGAUUGGUUCUCUAUGUGUUUUUAGGUUUUGAUUCUCUCCCAUUUAGAUCUCUAUGUUAGGUUUAUGUGCUCUCUGAUUCAGGAUCUCGAUGUUUGAUUUUGCAAUUUGUUUUGUUGCUAAAUGUGUUCAUGGUUUGCGUUUGAUUUUGCUGUUUGUUUUGUUGCUACAUGUGUUCCUGACAUGAGGCUGUAUUUUUACUAUUCUUGAAUUUUGUAGCUCCCCUUGUCGUCCCUGUGCAUGCCAAUCCUGUCCUUGUUGCUGUUGCUCAAGAGCAAGCUGCUCUCCCAGGUAUAACUCUCUUUCUUCCUUAGCUGCGUGAUAGGAUUUUGAUUUCAGGUGUUUAUGCUCUCUAAUCCUGAUCGUUGCUUAUUUAUCUGCGUGAUUGGUUCUCUCUGUGCUUUUAGGUUGUGAUUUUCUCCCAUUUAGAUCUCUAUGUUAGGUUUAUGUGCUCUCUGAUUCAGGAUCUCGAUGUUUGAUUUUGCAAUUUGUUUUGUUGCUAAAUGUGUUCAUGGUUUGUGUUUGAUUUUGCUGUUUGUUUCGUUGCUAAAUGUGCUCCUGAGGCUGUCUUUGUACUAUUCUUGAAUUUUGUAGCUCCUCUCGUCGUCCCUGUGCAUGCCAAUCCUGACCUUGUUGCUGUUGCUCAAGAGCAAGCUGCUCUCCAAGGUAUAACUCUCUUUCUUCCUUAAGUGCGUGAUAGGAUUUUGAUUUCAGGGGUUUAUUCUCUCAGAUUUUCGAUAGUUCUGGUAAAUUAUGAUUAGCACGGUUGUACGAUGCUUGUUAGCUAGGUUCAGAUUCAUCGUUGCUUAUUUAUCUGCAUGAUUAGUUCUCUAUGUGUUUUUAGGUUUUGAUUCUCUCCGAUUUAGAUCUCUAUGUUAGGUUUAUGUGCUCUCUGAUUCAGGAUCUCGAUGUUUGAAUUAAUUCUCUCUGAUCUUUAGGUAUUGAACUCUGUGUUUAGGAGAUUUUAUUUUAUAUCAUGUAUAUGUCUGUAGCUCUUGUGCGUCCUGACGUGAGGCUAUCUUUCAACUAUUCUUGAAUUUUGUAGCUCCUCUUGUCCCUGUUCAUGUUGCUCCAGAAGAAGCUGCUCUCCCAGGUAAACAACUCUUUCUUCUUUAGAUCUGAGUUGGUUAUUAUGAGGUUUUAAACUCUUUCUUUAGGUUCUGAAAUUUUACAAUUUGAAAUAGCAAAUCAAAAUAGUAUGAAAACAUUCUUACUUUAUUUCUCAGAUUUACCUCCGUCGUUUGAUAUGGUGGAUUCUGAUUAUUUCCUGUAUCUUUUUUUUUGUUUGUUGUGACAGGUCUGACUGUCAACAGAAACCAUCUGAUCAGAGAUCUCCCACGCCCUGUUCAACGUCCUCCUGUUGUGCAAGUGUCUCAGCCUCAACUUAGCCGGUCUGCAAGGAAAAAGCUCAAUAGAGGUCCUGGGACCAUGAGCCUCACUGCAGCACAGAAGAGGAUGUUUGGUCAUAGGAAGGGUAAGAAGAAGCACCGUCGUCGAAAGUAUGGUCAUAGCUAUUAAGCUCCCAGCCAGCAAAACAGGGAUGCAUCUUGCAGUGAGCUCAACAAGGAUUUCUAAACUCUCAUUAUAUCCUGUGAUUGAGCGAUACACUGGUUUUGGUUUGUGAUUUCGGAUUUACCAUGUGCACCUUUUGCAAAACAUGGAUUUAGAUUGCAGUGAGCUCAACAAGGAUUUCUAAACUCUCAUUAAAUCCUGUGAUUGAGCGAUACACUGGUUUUGGUUUGUGAUUUCAGAUUUACCAUGUGCACCUUCUGCAAAACAGGAAUAUACUUGGUGUCUGUUUUGGAUUUAAGUAAUAUCUGCUUCUCUCUUAAAUAUCUUGGUCUAUUGCAGGCAAAUAUCACUUCCAAAAUAUGUUGUCAAAUAAUCAGAUAUUUAGUCAUUGUAACCAAGCGAACACUGUUCACUGAUUCCUCUCUGAAAUUCUUCUUGUUCUUACAUUUGCUCAUCCGAUGACCUCCUGAUGCUUGAUAAGACGAAUAUAUCUUGUUGCAAAACCUGCAUUGAUGCUCAACGUUCUUCUUAUCAGAUUCAGUGAUCAUCUCAGUAUCUGAAUCAGAACACUCCAUAGCUCCUACUCCAAGCUCAGUUCUGUAAUACCCAGUUUUCCAAGUCACCAGCUUUUCGCAGUUUCCGCUGUUCCAAUUCAAUCUUUGUUCCCAAGAAACUCGCUGGUUCUUUCCAUGUCCCUUCCAUCAGUUUUUGCUCAUUACUCAAAGAACCAAAUUCACCUCCAUUUCGCAGCUUCUGCUGAUCCAAAACACACUUGUAUCCCAAGAAACUUGCUGGACCUUUGAAUGUAACAGGAGUAGUAAUCUCUUCUUUUAGCAUUCUUUGCUCAUUACUCAAAAACCCAGAUUCAAAUUCACCAGCUUUUCUUCGUUUCUGCUGAUCCAAUCUGUUAUCAUCUCUCAAGAAGCUAGCUGGUUCUUUCGAUGUUCCAUAACUACUAAACCUUUCUUCCAUAAAUCUUUGCUCAUCACUGAAAACCCCAUAUUCAAAUUCACCACCUUUUCGCGGUUUCUUGUUACGCAAACAACCCAAAUCAUAGCUACUUUUAGGUGUUUCAUGAAUCAUGAGUAACAUGUACUGCCUCAGCAAGAAGUUUCAGUCCGUCUACAAACUUGGGAGUACUCUCAGACAAUAGAAUCAAACAAUCCGCCACUUCUAAUUCUUCAUCAUUCGCAUCAAAAACAGAACGCGGUUCAAGAAAUGUACUAUACGAACAAGAAAAUGAAGUCUUCUUAUACCUAACAAGUCUCGAUCUUUUCUUCUUCCUCACAAAACUGAAGAUACGACACAGAGUCAUCAUGGAUUCUUCAUAAACCUUCUGGUUCGUCGAUAAAUGCAUCGUCGCUCGAUGAUUUGAAAAACAUUUCUCGUACCGAAACCCUUUUCCACAUUCUUCGCAUCGAAACAAAAUCUUCUUCAUUAGUUCCGGAGAUUCCAGGGUUUUCUUCUUCGGGUUUUCCCUUAUACCGUAGUAACAAGUAAAAUCUCGCUGUUGGUUUGUUGCGUGACUGAGUAAUCUUCAGAUUUCGCAGAGCUCCAUAGAUGGGUUUAUGUAGAAGAUCUUGGUGUUCUUCUUCCAUUUAGGCGCGAAAUACACGGGGUUUGUUGAUAAAGAAGAAGUCAAUGAAGACGAGGUAGAUGAUGUAGAGGUAGAUAAUAAAGCAACAAACCCAAGCCGGACUCAUUAUCAAAGAAACUCUCAGAUGAGUUGAAGAAAUAAGGAGGAUUAUGCUCUGUUUCUCGUCACUUUCCUGAGAAAUACUGAGAGAGAAAGUGUCGAAGAAACAGAGAAGCUUGAGACUAUCGAAUCAAACGAAAGAAUACAAACAUUUUGAGUUUCUGUGACUUUUCGGGAGAACAAGUGAGCGAGAGGAAUGGAGGAAACAGAGAGAAGCGGAGAAGAUAUAAGCACUGAGCGAAGUAACGUCGUGAAAGGGGCAUUAUAGUAAAUCGUCAAGAACAGAGGAGCGAAACUUUAUUUUUCGACUACAAGGUUCCCACGUGGCACAUCAUGACCGUGGAGGCGUCGACUAAAUUGGAAAAAUAAUUUAACAGAAUCUUUUACUCAUAUUAGAAACUGAAGUAGAAAUCCAGCUAGGGAAAGCUUUUAUAUUAUGAAAAUAAUACUCGAAAAGCUUUACAAUAUUUGAUAACCCAAGGUACAUAAUUACCAACAAAAACCAAACCUAAAAUCUCUGUUGGAAUUCAUAAAACCAAGAAAAAAAAGCGACAAUUAUUGAUCAAAACAUAGUUAAAGAUAUAUGGAAAAACUCAUGAGAAUUAGGAAAAAAUGGAGAAAAAAGCUAAGGAAGAGGUUUGGUUGUUGUUGAGGCAAGAGCAGGCAUGUCCUUGAGCCACUGGUCCAAUGGCUUACCAAUGGAGUAAACAAUAAACCCAAUCUGCCUGAGUUUAUCAGCGUCGACCACGUUUCUACCGUCAAAAACAAAAGCCGGUUUCUGCAUAUUCUCAAAGAUCCGUUGGAAAUCGAGUUUCUUGAACUCAUCCCACUCGGUUAAAAUGCAGAUA
rnacentral:lncRNA from 1 species